GACGAACGCUGGCGGCGUGCCUAAUACAUGCAAGUCGAGCGGACGGAUGGGAGCUUGCUCCCAGACCGUCAGCGGCGGACGGGUGAGUAACACGUGGGCAACCUGCCUGUAAGACUGGGAUAACUCCGGGAAACCGGGGCUAAUACCGGAUAACUCUUUCCCUCACAUGAGGGAAAGCUGAAAGAUGGCAUCUCGCUAUCACUUACAGAUGGGCCCGCGGCGCAUUAGCUAGUUGGUGAGGUAACGGCUCACCAAGGCGAGGAUGCGUAGCCGACCUGAGAGGGUGAGCGGCAACAAUGGGACUGACACACGGCGCAGACACCGGCGGGAGGAACAAGUGGGGAGUCUUCAGCGAUGGAGGAAAGUCUGACGGAGGAACGGCGCGGGAGUGAGGAAGGGUUGCGGAUAGUAAAACUCUGUGGUCAGGGAAGAACAAGGACCGGAGUACCAGCCGGUACCUGGACGGUACCUUACCAGAAAGCCACGGCUAACUACGUG
rnacentral:rRNA from 1 species